CUGCGCUCGAGCGCGGUCCCCCGGGCUGACGGCCAGCCCUGCGGAUGGACGGGCCGUGUGCCCUGUCGCCCUGCGCCUGCUGAACUCCGAGCACCCGAGGAUGUCUGCGCUGAGGAAGGUCUGUAUGAGCUGUUGGCUGUUGUGCAGGCCGGCUGGGGCCACGUGUGGACAGCCAGGAAGACCUGACCUUCCUCUGGGAUAUGUUUGGUGAGAAAAGCCUGCAUUCACCGGUAAAGAAGUUACUCGUCGAGCACCAUUUUCCUUUAGAUCUUCACAAUAUCCUGGGUAGCCUUAUGUUGUGAGGUGGAAGUCUCUACUCUUCUGUGGCUGCUGUGGCCAAGACUUCCAAUACUGUGUUAGCAUCCUCGCCUUGUUCCUGAUGUUAAGCAGGAAGCUUUUCCCUGUUGAGCAUGAUGCUAGCUGUGCACUGGUA